rnacentral:rRNA from 1 species
AUUGAACGCUGGCGGCAUGCCUUACACAUGCAAGUCGAACGGCAGCACGGGAGCAAUCCUGGUGGCGAGUGGCGAACGGGUGAGUAAAGUAUCGGAACGUGCCCAGUCGUGGGGGAUAACGUAGCGAAAGUUACGCUAAUACCGCAUACGAUCUAUGGAUGAAAGCGGGGGAUCGCAAGACCUCGCGCGAUUGGAGCGGCCGAUAUCAGAUUAGGUAGUUGGUGGGGUAAAGGCUCACCAAGCCGACGAUCUGCAGCUGGUCUGAGAGGACGACAAGCCACACUGGGACUGAGACACGGCCCAGACUCCUACGGGAGGCAGCAGUGGGGAAUUUUGGACAAUGGGCGCAAGCCUGAUCCAGCCAUGCCGCGUGCAGGAUGAAGGCCUUCGGGUUGUAAACUGCUUUUGUACGGAACGAAAAGGUUUGACUUAAUACGUUGGACUCAUGACGGUACCGUAAGAAUAAGCACCGGCUAACUACGUGCCAGCAGCCGCCGUAA